rnacentral:misc_RNA from 1 species
UUGACGAGCAGGUUGAGUGUAUGACCAUGAAGGACCAGACACUGAGCUCUUCACUACAGUUCAUGCAGCAGGAGCAGGACAAAGUGAUACAGGAGAAUAAGGACUUGCGAGCCCAGGCAGAGGUACUUACUGAUGCUCGUGACAAGGUGAUGCAGAAGCUGAAACUGAUGAAAAAACAACAGGAGACAAUGGGGAAUGAGAGUCAGGGCCAGGUACAGCAGCUGACCGACCAGGUGUCACAGUUACAGGCUCAGUUCUCACAGGCUAACGAGGAUCUACAGGCGAAAAAUAAAACAGUGGGUAACCUGGAAGAAGAAAUUGCUUCACUAAAAAUUAUGCUGGAAAAAGACCAAUCUACAAUGAAAGAAUUAGGGGAGAAAUUGAAUACAAGCAAUGAAGAAAAACAGCACUUAGAGACGACCAACUCCAAUCUGUCCACGAUGCUAGAGGAGGCUAAGUCAGCCAAGGAACAAAUCGCUAAUUCCUUCCAGGAGGAAAUCGAUGUGCUGACACAGCGACUUGAGCAAGACAAAGAAAAACGUCAGGAAAACAAGGAGUCAAAUGAUCAGACAGCUGUAUCUCUUCAGAAGGAGGUCGACGAGCUGACACAAAGGCUGAAGCAGGAGACAGAAAAUCAUAGAAAAGAUGUGGAAGAUUUGACCACAUCACAAAAGAAAUUCCAGGAGGAUUUUGCUAGUACAAGUGAAAUGAUGCAGGACUUGAUCGCAGGAAAGGAAAAGAUGGUUGAGCAGAAAAAAGAAUUGCAAGAUGAAAACCAAAGGUUAAGGAGUACGAUAGAGGAAAGAGAAAAAAUGGCAGAAAUCAGUGCUGACGUAACUGACAAGAUGAAUGUUUUGGAGACACAGAUGGCUGAGGCUGUGAGAGGACGAACAUUGGCAGAGGAAAAGUGUGAAGAACAAGCGAAGAGGAUCCAAGAGGUCGAGUGCACAUGUGACAGUCUCAGGGCAGAUCUUCAGGUCCUAGCCAAAGAAGUAGAGGACAAACAGACCACUAUCAAAAAGCACCAACAAGAAGUCAAGAAUCGGAAGAAAGAGCUAACAACAAUGGAACAGAAAGUUAAAGAGCUACACAGCGCUAAUGAAUCUCUUAAGUCUGCCAAAAAAGAGCAGGCAACCAAGGGAGGUAAGAAGGGUAACCCAAGUGACCAGAAGUUCAAGGCUGUGCUACAUCAGAAGGAGGAAUUGGUGUCAGAGAUAAAAUGUGUAAGCGAGGAACGCGACAGUCUGAAUGUGCGGGUGCGUGACCUGACGGAGGAGCAGGAAAUGUUGAUGGCGGACAUGCAGAAGAAGGAAGAACAGAUGCUGGAGUGGGAACACAUGAUGGAUAUGUUACAACAGGAGAAGGAACGCAUGCUGCACGAACUUGACAUCACCGAGGAACGUGAUCAGAAACUUGUCGCCGAGUUAGACACAAUCAGAUGUACAAUGUCGGAGAUACUGGCGAUCAAAACGGAUCCAGCAGAUGAUGUUUUUGAUGAGGACGAUGACGAUUCUGUGUUGUUGGCCAUGGAUAAAAUCAAAGGACUUGUCACCCAGGUUGUUAAUAAAAUGACAGACCUGAAAUCUGAGUUAGAUAAGGCGUUCAGCAGUAAUGGUGAUAACUCUGUCCAACUUCAGUCGAUUAAACAUGAGCUGGAGAAGGCCAAACAGGAGAAAGAGUCCAUCGAAUGCGAGAAAGAAUCGCUGGCAGUCAUCGUCCAGCUGGCAAAGGAAAAGGAACAGGACUUGUCUUCAGAAAACACGCAUUUGAAGGAAGUGAGUGAGAGUGGGGACACUGAGAUUAGAGAAUUAAGAGAAAUGUGUUUAAGUCUCAAGCAACAGCUAGAUGAGGGAGAGGAGCAGAAAAGUAAAAUGACCAGCCAGGUGAAGGAGAUGGAGGACAAGGUGCGGGAGAGACAAGCUUAUACGGAGGAACUGGAGGAUAAAAUCAUGGAUAUGUCUAACGCCCUGUCUGGGUCAAAGCAGAAACAUGAACAAUUCAUAUCCAAGAUGGAGACAGAUGGAGCAUCAACGACAGACACACUACAACAAGAAAUAAAGGACCUUCAACAAAAUAUCCAGACUCUGGAGGGGGACCUAGUGACGACAAAGUCCAGUCACAAGUUGGCUGUCACAGAGGUCCAAGAAUUGACAAAACAGGCGGAGGACAAAGCAGUGGAGUUAACACAGAUGUCAGACAGACUCAACAGUGUCGAACUAGAACUUAAAAAUCUUAAUGACGAAAAACAAAAACUAAUUGAUGAACACAAGGAAUUGAUAGUGGAAAAAGAAACUGUUUUAACAGGACUUAAAGAAACGUGUGGACAUCUUGAAAUUGAAUGUCAAAGUGCGAAAGAAGAAAAAGAAAAAUUUGUUGCUGAGAAUCAAACAUUGCAGGAAGAGGUUUCAGCUUACAAGGCCAAGUGUUCAAGUCUCGAGGAGAACGUCGCCCAUUUACAGAUGUCGUCACAAACAAAUGCAGAGAGUUUGUCCUCCCAUACAACAGUACUCCAGGACCAGAUCAUUAAUCUCCAGGUAGAAAAAGACCAGUAUUCAGCUACCUUACAGGAGAGGGAAAGUCAGUUAGAGCAAAUUCAGACUUCACUGGACGAAAAAAUGAAAGAAAUUGACCUUUUAGGGAAGGAAUCUCAAAGUAAAACAGAGGAGUACCAAGAUUUGCUGAUGGAAUUAGAUAAAGUGAAAGAUGCUCUUGAGACCAGACAACAAGAAACCUCUGAUUUAAAGUCACAGAUAGCAGUAGCUGCAGCUCAGCAGAGUGAAUUGUUGGCUCAGCAUGAACAAGAUAUCAGGGCUUUACAAGGGGAAAAUGACUCGACGAAGGAAGAGGUUAACAAACUGCAGGAGGAGAACAGAUCAAUGUUAGACAGGAAUAACUUGUUACAGGAUGAAACACAACGGGACAUUGAAAAUAAACAAUCCGAAGUUAAAGACUUGAUGGAACGUGUUUCUGUGCUAACAGAGGAACUUGGUGAAACAAAUGUGCACAAGGAAAGUCUAGUCAGAGAUUUCAAGGAAAAAUGUGAUCAAGAAACUCAUCUCAGAGCAGAGGUAGAGAAACUUGGAAACAGUUUGCAGACUCUUGAAGGUGAAAAAGACACUGUUACUAAGAAUUUGGAAUCUGCCAAAGCAGAGGUUGAGGAAUUGAAAGGUGAAAACAACACUGUUACUAAGAAUUUGGAAUCUGUCAAAGCAGAGGUUGAGGAAUUGAAAGGGGAAAAAGACACUGUUACUAAGAAUUUGGAAUCUGUCAAAGCAGAGGUUGAGGAAUUGAAAGGUGAAAAAGAAACCCUACACAUUGAGUUUGAAUCGGUGAAAGGCAAAUUGUCCGCUCUUGAGGACGGAGCAUCAGGGUCAGAAAAACAGCUAGCGGAUAUAAGUGGUCAAUUAGAGAAACUUAAAGCAGAGAAAGAGGUAGCUAAUGCUAAAACAGCCUCGCUGCAAGAUUCACAUGACAGCCUCUCUGAAAAGUUGUCCAGUUCAGAAACUGAAGUUAAUAAACUAAAGCAGGACAAGCAAGAUUUGAAUGAGACAAUAAAAGAGUAUGAAAUCAAAGUCAAUAAUUUACAACAACUAGAAAGUGAAAUGGAACAUUUAAAUAAGCGGUGUGUUGAAUAUGAAAGAGUUCUUGGUGAGAGGAAUGAAGAGAGAAAGACACUAGAACUCACUCUGGCAGAAACGAGUACACAAUUGGCGACGUAUGUGGCCGACUGUGAGCAACUUAAAACCACACAAGUAGAAUUAGUAGAGAGCAGUGACAAAGUAAAAGCAGAGAAGGUAGGAUUAGUGGAGAGUAUGGAGAAACUGAAAGUGGAACAGGUGGAGCUGGUAUCACAAGUACAAAGAUUUACUCACCUGGAGGAGGACAGCAAACAAAAAUCUAACGACUCAAGUGCGGAGGUGGAGAAGCUUAGGAAGAACCUCAAAGAGAAGGAUGUUAUCUGUGGCAAGCUCAAGGCGAUGGCGGUCAAGUGUAAGCAGGAGCUCGCCGAGAUCAAUAAAAAGUUUGCUGAUAUCUCUGAAGAGCUGAAGGAAGUGAAACAGUCCAGAUCUGACCUUGGGCAGAAGUUAGAGGUCAUGGAACAGUCAAACAAAUCCAACUCCAUAGUAACAGAGAGUUACCAGACACUGCAGCAAGAACACAAGAAGUUGGCCCAGGAACUGGAGGCUCACAAGAAAACAGCCGACCAGUAUAAACUGGACCUUGAGCGUACUGUCCAGGACUCAUCCCAGGUCAAACAAAAACUGGCCAACACUAAGGAGGAAAAGGACAGAAUCAAUAGUGAUAAAGAGAAGCUGGCCACACAGAUCAAGGGAUUAGAGACUGCGGUGGGGGAACUGAAAUCCAAACUGACAGCUUCCGAACAGGAGACAGAGGCAAACAGAAUUCAACGGGAUGAAAUCUCCAAGGAAAAAUCGCAGUUACAAACCAGAUUGACUGACCAGGAGGAACGAUCAAAGACGGACCUGGAGAAACAGAAAGCCAUCAUUACUGGGCUCCAAGGUCAGAUACAGACCAUUCAGAAUCACCUAGAGCAGGCGAAACAGGAAGCCCAACAGAGCAACAUGAUGGAUCUGGAGAUAGCAGACUACGAACGGACAGUCCAGGCCCUGAACAUGCAGGUCACAGAGAAAGACGUGGCUGUCGGAGAGCUGAAGCUUGAAAUAGAAAGAAAGGAGGAAAGGGUCAAAUCUCUACAAGAACAGAUAGAGGCUGUUGAUGAACAAAGAAACCAGUCUGAAGAGAGGGGCAACAAGUUUAAACAAAUGCUGGUCAAAACCAAGAAAGAGCUUGCAGAUGCCAAGAAAUGGGAAACAGAACAGCGUACAUCAGAUGCUCACUUACGAGGCCAGAUUGAAGGUCUGAACCAACAGCUGGAGGAAAAUAAGAUGCAAACGAGUGAGGUGGCUGGAGACAACCAGAAGUUGAAGGAGAAACUGAGGUCAUUGUCAGACUCUAACCAGCGGACUAUCAGGUCGCUGGAAAGCCAGGUUCAGUCCCUACAGGAUGACCUAGAGGUGGUGAGGAGUGAACAGGGGGCAAUACAGGCAGAGUACGAAAGUUAUAAGGUGCGGGUACAUAGUGUGUUGAAACAACAGAAGAAGCCGUCACAGGAACCACUGAGUGAACAGGAAAAGUUAGAAAAGGAGAGACUAGAAAAGGCAGUGGAACAACUGAAGGGUAAAUUGGAGGAAACAAGUGCGGCCCUGAGCAGUACCAGACAGGAAGUGUCAGUAUUACAGGAAGAACACGAUCGUCUAUUACAGCGACACAACAAGGUGCUACUAGACACACAAGACAAAGAGGAUCACUACAGAAAAAGAAUGGAGGAGGCCAAUAAGGAAAAGGUGUUAUACAACAAAGAACUACAGGACACAGUUCAACAAUUAGCUGGUCAGAACGAGUCUCUGACCAACUCUUUGAAGGAUCAGAUAAAAUGUCUUCACGAAGACCAUCGUCGGGCCCUAGACUUGCUACAAAGACAGCUAGACUCGGUAGAAAAUGACAACUUUCGACUGCAGAGGGAACUGCAGCAUCAAGUCCAGCAUACUUCAAAGAUUCUCUCCGAACGGAAAAGUCCCGAGACAUUCCAAACUGUCCCAACCACAGAGUUCAUUACAGAUAUGAGACACGAAGAGCGACAGGAAGGGGAGGGGUCAGAAAUUGUGGAUCCUGAACCAUGUCCAAAGGGAAGUAAUAAGACAACCCUAGCUCCCAUGCCACUAGACAAGUUAUUGGUAGCUGGCCCAGAGGACACAGCCUCAAAGCUCAGUCCACAUGUAGAUGAGGCAAUACUCGAGGAGAAAAUUCUGACGGCUAACAAGAGACUAGAACAUUCAACAGAGCUUCUGAGUGAAUCUGAAGCAGCGGUGAUGAGACUGACAGAACAGGCCAAGAUCCUGAAGGAGGAGAUACGGAGGCUGGAGAGGAACCAAGAGAGGGAGAAAGAGGCAGCCAAUAUGGAAUACCUUAAAAACAUACUUCUUAAGUUCCUGAGCCUGAAGGUUGGCGAUGACAGACAGAAGCUGAUCCCGGUGUUGUGUACUAUGUUGAAACUGAGCCCGGAGGAGAAGUCUCUACUGGAUGCCGUAGCUCAGGGUGAAGAUCAAGGUCAACAAGCUCAGGCAGCAGGCUGGGGUGCAUAUCUCCAUCGAUGGUCGGGGCUGGCUGGCUAGUGACCAUCUAAUGUUGCACUGGACCACCACACAGAAACGGAGGAUCUUUCUCUCCUUUAUAAGGCUAGCACUUUAAAAGCUUCUGAUUUUUAAAUCAGCAUUAAUAUAGAUCUGAAUAUUCUCAAACACCCACAGUUUGGAUUUAUAUCUUCGUCAAAUAGUGCUGCUAGAACUAUGCUUGCAUUUAUGUGAUUUAUGUAAAGGGCUUGACCAUAGAACUACUGAUCAGUUUGAACACUGAUCUAGGUCCUACCUGUAUCAAAGUGAACCCUUGCUACAGAGCUGCCAAGCGGAAAUGUAAUGACCUUACAUGUGUAUCAGUUGGCGGUAACUACAGGUAGCUCCAGUGUUUGCAGACAGCAGUACCCAAAACAUCAAGGCUUCAAUUUUACUUUUCAAAUGAGAGCUUUUUUGUUGUUCUCAACAUUUCUGGUUUUGGAAUAUGUAUAAUUACAAUUAUUUCAAUCUUAGGAAUUAGUUUCCACUGUUGUAGGAGAUGCCACUUUUAACAGCAUGGAAAUAUUAUCUCUUUCUUUGGUUAAAGUUGUGUUUUUCCAUGUUGAAUAACGGAAAACCAAAUUUAUCGACACUUGCUUAGGCAAAACUGUUUGAAAAGAUUGUAAAACAUGGAUUUUCGGAGAUAACUGAAAGAUAUAUAAAUAUAUAUGUUUUCUGACAAGUGAUCUGGUUGGGGUACUCCAAUGAUACUGCCAUACUUACAGUCAUGAAUUAAUAACAUUUGGACCAACAAGUGGUCAAAGUUCAUACUAUAAUUCUUGUAAAGUGUGGGGCUAUAGUAAAGGCUAGCUCUAGUGUAAACUGUUAUAGAUCUUUGUAACACCAGUCACAGUAAGCACCAUUGCACCAUUGAGCCUAUUCCUAUUCCGUCACAAGGUAGACAAAGGUUGAAUCUUAAUACCUGUGUAGUUUGAUGGUUGUGACUUUGACCUUGGACAAUGGUCAAAGACAUCAACUUUACUUUAUAACAUUCCACUGUUGUCUUGUCAGAAUUUCUGACAUACCGGUCAUAAAAAGGUACAUGCAAUAAAUAUGUGCUUACAUGACAGCUUGUAUAUUAAUAUAGGAAUCAAAUACAAACACCAUUGUGUUUAAUGUGAUUGAUUGUCUCUGACAAUUGCCACUGAAGUUUUUACUGAUACGGUUACAAUUUAGUAUGAAAUUAGUACAAUUUAAACAGAAUAUCAACACAUUUACUUAUUUGUUUUGCAUUAUCAGACAGAUGCAGAAGAUUUUUCCAGCAUCCUUUUCAUUCAACUCUAUCACAAUCCACAGGUUGCUUUUGAACAUAACAUUUCCGGGAGUAAAAUCUGACACACCUGUAAAGAUUAAUACUAGUCUUGUACAGCAUCAGACUAGUUGCUCCGCCAUUAUAAAACUAAUAACUCUGAUCCACCUGGAAACUUUUUUUGAAAGUUGUUUUCCCCAUCAGUGAUUUAGAAAUACAAUGGAUUUUUAAAGCAUGACUAACUUUAUGAGUUGUUAAACUUAAGUUAAGACCUAUUCUCAAAAUGCACUUUUGAAAAAUGUCUGAAAAUUUACAUACCGGGUACAAGGUAUAUUUUUGUAUUUUGUCUAUGCAGAUGACAAUUCUAGAUCCCUAAAGAUAUAGUUUUAUUUUUGAAUUUUAAUGUAUUUCAAAAGAAAAUGGACACACUUUUGUGUUCAACUGUUGCUAAGUUGAUCAGAUUUGAUAGGACUGGUCCCAUUAGGUGUCCAGGCUAACAAGGUCCCACAGUAACUUGCUGUUACAGUAAGACUCUUCUUACAUACAAAACAUCAGACAAGGUUUUGUAUAUUCAGGGAAAAUCCUGCAAUUUGAGAGCAAUGGGCCAUUUCAGCAAUUUCUAGUCAAUAUCAAAAUUAAGAGGGACCAUUCUAUGUAAACUUGAAAGAAAUUUGGAUCAUAGAGGGGUCAAUUUAAGUUUUGAUGGGUCAAUGGCCAGGAUUAUCCCUGAUAUUGCUUGGGAAAUUAUAUUACAUGCAUUUACCUGAUAUUGUUAAAUAGAACAAGAUUUAAAUCAAAAUCAUGUUGUUAUUUAUCAAAUUGAAUGAAUAUUUUGAUCACAUAAAUCUGUGACUAAAAUUAUACAUUUUCAUAUUAGAUAGAGAUCUUUAUCUAAUACUAUUCAGCAUUUGUUUUCAUGUACGGUAGAAACAAUUUUACUACUCUUCUAGUAGAAGUAACUAUUUUUUAUACUUUGUAAUUUCAUAGUUUAGGUUAAUUAUAUCUUCUUGUUCAAUGUGUUACAAGGUACCAGGUGUCACAAGUCUUAUUCUGCGUUCCUUUUUGUAAAUAUCCUGUAUGAAUGUAAAAAUUGAAUACCGGUAUAUGGAUCCAAUAGGAUCUAUCCAGACGGAUAAGUCCUGUCAGAUAUGUCCAGCAGAUCAAUCCAUUCUUUGUUUCGGGAAUGACAUGGAGAAUUUAUUUUCAAGAUAUGACAAGAAACAUGAUUAUUUUUGUGUAAAUUAGGGGAGGGUGAUCAGAAAUAUUUGAAUAGAUGUACCAGUGUUGUUUUUUGUUCAUACUACACUACAUGUGAUAAUUGAUUUGAGGUUUUCUGUUUUUAAAUAUGCGGAUGAUCAUUUGGUUAUAUUACAUGAGGAAGUCAGAAAUAUGAGUACGUUGUGUAUCAGAGGGCGAUUUCUGCUUCAGUAAUAGUUAUGAAAAUAUCAAUGAUUUAAAUUUGAUAUGUCCUGACUCCUUAAGCUGAGGAAGCAUGUUAUCUUUUACAAUAAUAGUUAUUGAUUAGUAGAGUGUAGCCGUCAUAUGUGUUGACUUAAGUUUUUUGUUACCUGUACACAUGAGCAUGUUGACAAGGUUUGAUUAUCUGUACCAAUGUGUUGACAUGAAGUUGGACUACUUUUACACAUGUGUUGACAUUGUUGACAACUUAAUAUUUUGAAGUCAGAUUUGACAUCCUGUACACAUUUCUGAUUAACAGUUGGACUACCGAUACAAAAAUGCUGACAUUAGAUUUAACCAACUGUUCACAUGUAUUUAUGCAAUAUCUGACUAUCUGUUUCACAUGUGUUGACAUAGGAUUUGACGGACUGUCCACAUGUUGACAUAGGAUUUGACGGACUGUCUACAUGUUGACAUAGGAUUUGACGGACUGUCCACAUGUUGACAUAGGAUUUGACGGAUUUGACAGACUGUCCACAUGUGUUGACAUAAGAUUUGACCAACUGUUCAUAUGUGUUGACAUCAGAUUUGACUAUCUGUCCACAUAUAUGGACAUAGGAUUUGACAGACUGUCCAUAUGUGUUGGCAUAAGUUUGGACUAUCUGUAGACAUGUGUGGAUAGACUAAAAUAUCCUCUUUCCAAAAGUUUUGUAUUCAAAAUUAGCCAUGUUAGAGCUGUGAUUGUCAGUAUUAUUUCUACAAUUUUUUUGUAUUAAGCUAAAUCCAGCUUUGAACAAAUUGGCAUUAUAUGUGAUUGAAUAUUUGCGGGUAAGUUGAAUUUGUUCAUGGGUUUGAUUGUCUAAGUGUCCAAAUUUUCCUGUUUGUGAUGCCGAAGAUACUUUAAAAGUGCAGGAACUCAUGUGUAUGUCCCUUUAAAAGCUGUGGUAAAUGUAUGGGUUCUAGACUACCCACACCCCUGUAUGGCUUACGAAUUCAUGUAAAAUGAUGCCUUUUCAAUGUUUUCUAGUAAGUUUACUCUCCCUAGACCCACCACUAAGGCAAAGUGAGAACUCUGUCCUAUGCUUCCAGAGCAACUUAUGUUUAUAAACUCCCUUACAAAAGGGAAACCAACAAGUCCAAGUGAAGUGAUACCAUAUUGUGCCACAAUGAAUAUUGACUGUCAGAGUGAAGUGUGCGAACCUGCAGGUGCUACAAACCUAGAGGUAGUAGUACUUGAUCUUGCUGUAUGAAAAGAAAUCCAAUGUUGCAUUUUAUGAAAUACCAGCAAUUGAACAAAUUUCAUUGUUAUGUAGGACACAGGAUUUUCUUUACCUUUUUACAUCUUCUGUAUGCUUAUUCAAAGAUAACAGUAUAUGGUAUAGAACAAAAAUAUCCUAUACAUUUUUAACUUUGAAUUAAAUCUAAUAUUGUUAUAAUUUCACCCCUCUUAAAAACAAUAAAUCUGGUUUUCACCAAGAAAUAUCCUGUAGUAAUACUGGAAAAACACUUCUCACUAAAUACAAACCUACAUGCUCCUACGGUGUACUGUUCAGUGUUAGAUUCUUAAAAAGACAACUCUGAUUUUCUAUAAUGGAGUUUCUAUCAUUCAUCUAUGCAUUGUGAUAAGAAUAUUGUGAUUAGGAAUGACAGUGUGACUGUAUUUCACCCUUUCACUCCUAUGUUACUUGAGUAGACUCUACCAUGCAUUGAUAUGGAUGAGUCCAUUAUGGUCUACAGUAGUGAAAGGUUUAACUCGGAUAUCAGGCUGUAGAUUAUAUACACAAGUGCUUCAAACCAAUUCUAGAAGUUUAAAGCUCUGUGAUUAUGCAAAAAAGAAAAUAUUUAUAACUAAUUGUUUGUUUCCAAUAUUACCAAUGUCCCUAAUAAAAAGCUUGUUAUAUGUAUGUAACUAUUUGUGAUAUAAAUGUAUAUAUCUUCAUAUGACCUUAGCUGUUCCAGGGACCCAAAACCCUUAAUAAACAAUAAGUAUUUCACAAAUUCAUGGCCAUGGAGAUUGUUUUCUUCGCUUACUCCUCACAAAAUGUGAAAUUCUGCCAGCUUUGGUCAAGUAACCUCCACCCCAGUAUGUGAUAAAAAGAAUCUUAAAUCAGUUCUAAUUGUGCGUGAAAUUAUGAAAUUCUCUGAAGCUGAUUUCAUCAGAUUGUAUGUUCACAAAAUGGGAAUUUGGUCGAGAUCCUCUGUACUGUUAAACUUCUGAAAGUUCCAACAAUUUUUGUGUUACACACGUCAUGAUUUAGCACACUAGAUUAAUAUUUAACUUUUCAGGAAUACAGUGAUUUGUUACUAUGUGAUAAACAUAAUUUAGCAUUUGCCAAUAAGGCCUGAAAAGUGCUUAAAUAUGAAAGCCACCAAGAUAAAAGAGUUGUAUAUUUAUUGUAGUUAAAUUUGUUUUGAAUAGCUACUUUGUUUUAUUGAAAUAAUAGUUUUCUACUGUAAAGUAAAAUUUUGUUAAGAUGUUAAUAAUAGUUUUCGACUGUCCACUAAGAUAAGGUUAUUUGUAAUGUAGUUGUUACUUUUGUUAAGUAUGGUACUUUGUUUUAUUGAAAUAAAAGUCUUUUACUGUUAUGAUUGUAUUGCGAGUGAAAAGGUUCUGUAGCUAUGGGAAUCGUAGCUUCUAGGCCCGAUCAGUUGGGUUUUUUUUUACGGUUCCUGCAGCUAAAGGUUCUGCAGAUACAUUAAUUCUAUUUUGCUCUGGACAUUAUAUAAGUUAUAGAAGUUUUCUAUAUUUUUGUCUUCUAUUAUGUAUCCGUUGUGUUUAAAUGCAUGUUUUCAGAUGUAAAUUUAUUUAUCUAAAGUUUGAGUGAUUGUGUUCAGAUGGUAAAGUGUGCGUGAACCUUUAUAAUGACUUCCUGUCCGUUUAUUUUUUACUGAAUAAUGAAAACAACUUAUAAUCAAUAUCAUAAAAUUUUGUUCGUCAAGGAAUGACCAAGAUUUUGGGGGAUUUAUAUGGCUUUUUACUGAAUAAUGAAAACACAUUAUUAUCAAUAUUAUAAAAUUAUGUCCAUCCAUAAUUGGCCAAGAUCUUUGGAAGUUACACGGCAUUUGCCAGAAAACCCGUCAAAAUAUUUUAAUUAAAAAAGACUAACACAUUUUAAAUUUACAGUUUGCAACUAUUUAUUAAUUUCAGACAGUUGAAAUAUGUUAAAAGCAGUUUCAGUGUAUGACAAGACUUUAAUAUUUUUUAGGUUACAGAGUUAGUUACGAUUUGGUUGUGUGUACAUAAUGUUAGGAUCAUUUCUUGAAAGAAAACCAUAACUUACAUAGCCAGCUAACAGCAUUAUAUAAAGGAAAGAAGGAAAACUUGCUAAUGCAUGUAGCCUGUCCGAUGAAGUGACAUUGAAUGUAACACCGAAAGUAUAUAGUGUUGAUAAAAUAAAUAAUAAGAACCACCAAAUCUUACUAAAUUUUAAAUGAUAUAUAUACUCCUGAAGAAUCCCACAUGUUCGGGCGAAACCGGUAGACAUACAAUAAAGAAACCAACCUAUCCUGAGCUUGUUGUGAUUGAAUAUUGCCUUUAAAUGAUAUAUUAUAUGGCUUCCCUUUUUGCUUUUGAUAAAAUACUGGUGAAUUUAACGAUGCAUAAUAUUGUUUUCAUUAGCAUCACCUCAUGUUAAACUGAACACAAGUCAUGAUGCAGUUACAAUUUAAUAUUUGUUUUUUCAUUUGAAACCAUCAUUUGUUUAAAAAAUUGCCAGUUGGAAGAGGUACCAAGGUUUCGUAACGUGUUUGGUUAACUUGUAGUGUAACACUUUUAGUAGGGAAAGGAAAGUUUUUUUUUACAGAGAUUUCUAUGGAAAUUGGGUGAAAAUUACAAGGGAGACAUAUCAGUAAUAUUUCCUAUACUCUUGUAAAUGAAUGAGGUACACACUACACCUGAUUGUGAUCUUGUAUAAAUGGUGUUUUAUUUUGUGCAAUAAUUCAAGUGGGGAAAUAAAAGUUGAAAACAA